rnacentral:misc_RNA from 1 species
UAAAAAAUAAAAAUAAAAAUAGCAAGUAUGAACUAACAUAUACAAGAGUAAACUCAUACAAACAGAAGCAUAUAUAAUCCGAGUAGAAAUGGCACAGAAAUCAGGCCUAUUGACCGAAAGCAGAGCUUUUAACUAAACACAACUACCAGUGUAAAGCAUACUUAAAGACAGCAAAAGACAAUAACAACGCAACUUUAGCUACUAGAUUGUCCAAAAAAAGAGCACAAAAACUAAGUCAAGAUAGACAGUGAAAAGAAAAA